CUUGCCCUGGUGCCUAGGGUCAGCUAGACAGUUCGGCAGGGGACCAGCUGCUCUAGAAGAGCCUGCACAGGAUGAAUUGGUUCUCCUUCCAUGUGCAUCUUGCAUCCCUCCAGCCAAGGAUUUGAACCAAGGUCUCAUCUGACUCCAAAUGCACCAAGAGGAUGGAGCCCAGAGUGACACAGAGGAAGAGGUCCCUGGAUGGAUGCAUGGGGAAGAUCAUGGAAAUUACAAGUGACAUCCUGAAGUAUGACCACAAGUGUUUCAAAUUAAGCCUUCCUGCUAAGUUUCCAGAGGUGUGUGGCUUGCACGAAGUGUUUCCAGAGUGGACCCUGGUCUACUGAGUGUCCUGCCUGUUGCUGGUUCUUUGCAGCAGUCCGUUGACCAACGCUGUCUACCGCUUGAGAGCCUCUGCAGGCCAGGGCUGCUCUUUGCACCAUCCUAUGUUACUAUUCAAUCUGCAUAGCAGCCUGAAAAACAGGCCUUCUUUCCUCUCAUUUACACAUAUGUGAAGAAGACACAGCAAGUGAGAAAACGUGACCGAAAGCCAUGUGGACACGUGGCCGCAGGGCCAAACCCGACUUCCAUGAUGUGAUCUGGCUACAGUUUGGAGCCCACAUAUUUCAAUAGUUAUCCCCAGGCCUGACACAUCAAAGAGGCUCCAGAAAUGUUUGCUGAAUGAGUGAUGAAUCAGCAAUUUCUGAUUUUCUCCUAAAUUCAGAGAAUAAGUGGCUUGUCUGUAGUCAACCAGGGCGUCCCUGACAGAGGUACAAGUAGAGCCCAGAUCUCUGCAUCUGUGGUUCAAGGCCUUUUGUACUACACACCACUGUCUCUUUGUCAUCAUUAAAAACAGGGCUCAAGGGACAUGUUUUCUAACCUCAGUUCCCCAUCUACAAAAUGGGCCUUACGGAAUGGAAUGUCUCUGCUUCACUCCAGCAUCAACAAGCGGGGAAUUCCAAUGGCUUCAAUUCGACUUCUUUCCAUGGGCGUGUUCUAAGCAGCCUCUUUGUUCCAGAAGCUGCCCUCAGCCAGAGUUGGAUGAGCAAUCCUCACUCUCCAGCCUCCUUUGGAUAGGGAUGAAGACCCCACUGGGUUCGGAAGUGCAGAGGCAGACAGGUGUAUGGAGUCACCUGUAAAUUGAUUCAAGUGAGCCAGGAAAACAGCGAAGAAAAGAGAAACCUGAGUGACGAUGUAGUGGAGGAAUAGGGUUGGAAAGAGGCUGCUGGCUGUCUGGCUUCGCAGCUCUGGCUUCCCAAUCAGCCUCGCUCUUGUCUCUGGUGUUCUCUGGCUCUUGUCCCCCUGUCUGUAUUUCUCUUUGCCAGCUGUUGACUAAUCUUUGCUGGAGCUGAGCUAGAAUUCUGGUGUUUAUAAGCCCGUAACUAGCUAAGCACUAGUUGAUAACUUUGGAGUUAGUGGAUAACCACAGGGCUGGGCUACUAAGCUUUUUCAGUUGAAAAAUAAAUAAAUAAAUAAAUAAACA